rnacentral:lncRNA from 1 species
UUGGCUACUGUGAUGGCCAUGGCAGCACCGACCACAGCCACCUCAAAUCCUGAAGACCAUUCUUAUGGCCCAGAUCACCACCGCGUGGUUAAAUCAUCCUUUGCCGAAAGGCCCAUUCAUUGCCGCAGCGAGAUCACCGGCAUCAAGAAUGAAAGCAAGCCCCAAAGCUCACCAUCGCCAGCCCGGCCAUCCACCAGAGGAUGAUGCCAACGAGAUGGAGGAGACAUCAGCAUAACCAAUGUCUCAAGACCAGCCAUAUACAACCAGACCAA